CUACGGGCCGCUGCAGUGAGGAAUAUUGCACAAUGGGGGGAACCCUGAUGCAGCAACGCCGCGUGGAGGAUGACGCAUUUCGGUGUGUAAACUCCUUUUAUAUGUCAAGAAAAUGACGGUAGCAUAUGAAUAAGCACCGGCUAACUCCGUGCCAGCAGCCGCGGUAAUACGGAGGGUGCAAGCGUUACUCGGAAUCACUGGGCGUAAAGGACGCGUAGGCGGGUUGGAAAGUCAGGUGUGAAAUCCUACAGCUUAACUGUAGAACUGCACUUGAAACUUCCAAUCUAGAGUAUGGGAGGGGGAGACGGAAUUAGUGGUGUAGGGGUAAAAUCCGUAGAUAUCACUAGGAAUACCUAAAGCGAAGGCGAUCUCCUGGAACAUUACUGACGCUAAGGCGUGAAAGCGUGGGGAGCAAACAGGAUUAGAUACCCCCGUAGUC
rnacentral:rRNA from 1 species